AUGACUUUCCAGAUGUGUGUGCCUGCAGUGUCCACAGUGAAACUGUAUAGUAUAGGCUUCGGCUUGCUCGCAGGCAGUGGGGCUAGUGGAGGCGGUGGGUCCCUGCUCAGGGGCUGGGCCCUACAGUGCCUGGAGGGCCUCGAGUUCCAGUAUCUGAUGAAGAAGCACUCGGUGACCGUCGGCCUCAACUUGUCACAGGGCUCUGAGGACAUGAGCUUGGGCCACUUGAGCUUCAUCUCACGGCAGGUGCCACCUCGAGAUCCUCACGCCCCUGGGCAGUGGUGGCUCCUAAGUGCGCUGCCUGGGCCAGAACAGCAUGUUCAUGGACAGCGUGUUUCCGAGGUGCCGCUCGCUGCAGCUGCCAUACGUGUGCAUCUUCAGGUUCCCGAGCAUAAACAUCAGGGUAUUCACUGCCUUGUCCAGCGAGAAAAGGGAGAAGCAGGAUGUGUCUGAGUCUCCAGUGAAGGUUGGGCAGCCGCACUCUCGCCCAAGACACUCUGGCCCACGUCAUCAGCCCUCUGUCCUCACCCACAGGAACCAUCAGCGCUGCAAACUCCUAUCCCUCCAGACCCCAGGGAGCAGGGUCUUCAUGGUAGAAGGUGGGCCGAGUGAUGCCAUCUGACCUCCAUUUAAUGGCUGACAACUCACAGCCUGAAAAUGAAAAGAAAGAAGCUUCAGGUGGAGACAGCCUGAAGGAUGAUUCAAAGCCACCUUACUCCUGUGCACAACUGUACGAGCAAUUACAGUGGCUCCUGACUAACAGCUCACCCUGAACGGAAUUUAUACACACAUCAAUAGAAAUUAUCCCUGCUAUAGGACUGCAGAUAAGGGCUGGCAGAAUUCAAUGCGCCAUAGUCUCUCUCUGAAUCGUUAUUUCAUCAAAGUUCUGUAUUCCCAGGAAGAACCAGGCAAAGGCUCAUUCUGGAGGAUAGAUCCUGCCUCUGAAAGCAAAUUAACAGAACAGGCUUUUAGGAAAGAUGGCCUAGGGGCAUGCCUUGCUUUAGAACCCCCUGGAUUGCUCUCUUCUAGGAGUGUCCCAGCCUCUCCCAGUCAUGAUGGAGUGCUCACUCUAGUGGCACCCAGACCCCUGACAGCCUUUGGAGGGAAGGUUUGCCAGCCCCCCGGGCACUGCACAGCCCAGGCUCACUGUCAUCCAGGAAGCCCCAUUUGCCCAGAGUGCACCAGGACCACCUCUGUCCAGUCAGCCAGUCUUAAUCACCGUCCAGCGGCAGCCAUCAAGCCUGUCACCUACACUGUAGCCACCCCAGUGACCACUCGACCUCCUAGCCACCCAUUGUGCAGAUAGUUCAUGUCAUCCACCAGAUACCAGUGGUGUGGCCGGACUGGCCCCAGCGAACACAUACACUGUCUCUGGACAAGCUGUGGUCACCCCGGCAGCUGUGCUGGGAAAGCCCCAGGAGAAUGGAGAUCACAGGGAAGUCCAAGUGAAAGUAGAGCCUAUUCCUGCCAUUGGCCGUGCCAUGCUAGGCACUGCUAGCCGGACCAUCCAGACAGCACGGACCACCCUGGCCCAGAUGGUGACUAUAGUGCAACAGGCACCUCUGGGUCUACCCAUAAAAACUGUAACACAAAACGGCACUCGUGUGGUGUCAGUCCCCACUGUGGUCCACGGCCAGGUGAACAAUGCAGUGGCGGUCCUUUGCACAUGUUGGUGACACAAGCGUCCACAUCAGCCUCCCUGUCUACACAGUGCCAGAGCAGUGACCAGCAGGAGCAGCCAGAGCUGAAGCAGAGCAAGAUGGAAGACGGCGAGAGUACUGUCAUAGCCCUGAGUGUGGACAUGCCACCAGCAGCUGUGAGGGAAAAGGGUGUCCAGAACUAGCUACUGGGAGAGCUUUUCUUGAACACUAUCAACUUUCUGGUGCCAAAAGGAGACAUUGCCUCCCACCCGCUCUCAGUGGAUGCAGGGCCCUGUGGUUGGACUUCACCUCUCAGUACUGAAAACACAAAACUCAGGUGGCCUUAAAACUCCUUAAUUUAAAGACAGAAGUCACACUUGAACAAAAACCACACACAACAAAACCCGAUUUUGGAGACAGUGUCUCCCCCACUGAGCACCUGCUGGUCUGCUGCCUUUGGAUUGAUUCAGCUUUUACCUACGAGUGAGACUCUUGGUCCUCCUGCGAGGACCACGCUGUGUGAGGACGGCAGAGUCCGUGCCUGCUGCUGGUGGGUCUCCCAGUACUAGGCCCUCAGGACGUUGGGGGAGCUGUCCCCACCGCCCUCACAGGACCCACCAAGCAGCAGAGACAAAACGGUGUUUUGUUGCUCACAUGUGGAAUUAGAGUAUUUUGAGGUGUACUUUCUUUGCAAAAUAAUGGGGUUUUGGGCAUUUCACAUCACUCCAUUUCUACUCAGACUUUUGGAAUCACACAGGACCUUUCAGUGGAAUCAUUUGGGGAAAAAGAAACAAUGUAGUUGUUUUCAGCCUAGAAUGAUUUCCUUUUGUCUCUCUGGCUAAAGUUCAGAUGAAGCUGCUUUGUGGCAUCUGCACAUUUCCAUGCUACAGUAGCUGCCUGAUGAAUUUCAUCCACCUCCAUUUCAGCAUGUGGGUGGCGUGGACAGGUGGACGGAUGCUGCGGCCACCUGGAAGCCUGAGAACCCCGGGAGGAGCUGGUGCUGUGGGGGAACUGCCGUGACUCACCGAGCUGCACUUAACUGUUCUCUUUCUGGCUGUUUUUGUUGUUUGUUUCUUUGGGUUGACUUUGUCCCUGGCAAAAUUUUCCACUCUAAGUAACACAAGUCUCCUAAGAUGUUUAAAAUGACGGAACCAUUACUACUUCAUUUGGAAAAAAAGAUUCAGUCUUCUCUCACAGGCCCUUGGAAACUAAGAUUCGAGGUCUCUCCGUGGUAUGUUUGUAUUUUGGGUGUCAUCCCCUGCUCUGGGUGCCCUCCGACCCGCCGUCAACUCUUUAACAUUGCAGUUUUCCCACCCAUGGUGAGCAGCCAUCAUAGUGGAGCAGGGUCCCAGCAGUGCCCUGCAGGGAACGUCUGGGGCAUUUCCUGACUUGUGGUAGGAAACAUCCCUGACCUUUCAGAACUGAACCUAAUCCUGAGGCUGACUACUCUACAGAAAAUGAAAGGAGAGGAGAGCGGGAGGGAAUGAGAGUGGGAGGUCCCUGCACCUGCCCGGCUCCUUGGGAAGAAAACCGCUCGACUUCCCCAAGUGCGCCAGCUUGGGGAUGAGCAGCAGUGCACAUAGGGAAAGGGCAUCAGCCUGAUGCUGAGCUUUUUAAUGUCAUCAUCGUAACAUUAUUUAUUUAAGUGUAGUUAUUUUGGUAUUUAAUAUUUUUAGAGAGGAAAAAACCUCCAUUUCAGAAUGGUAUAUUUAGGCAAUUUAAAAACAUUUAUUAUUUACAUAAAGACCAAAUAUGAUGAAUCAGUUCUGUGAAUUGUGUAUUGGCCCUCAACUUGGGGCUGUGACAGCUUCACUGCGGUGACACACAUUGAAGAGUAUGAAAUUAUGACACACAGCUGGAUUAUAAUUCAGCCAUUUAAGAAAUAAAAAACAAAACCAUCAUGGGACUGAAACAAAACAAAACAAAGCAAAAAACCCAAAAAGAUAAUAUUGUUUUCAUUAGCAAGUUUUUUUAAAUGUCUUUUUCCUUUUUUCUUUUCUUUUUUUCCCUCUUCUCCCUCUGAUAUUAUCAUUAGCAGGUUUUGAACGUUCCUUUCACUUAGGACUUAAAUAGUGAAGAGCCUUGGCAUCAAGGAGAAAUGUACACAACAGAUGCUCCCUUCCUCAAGAUUCAGAUAUUGACGAUUAGUUCUGACAUAAGAUCUGGGCAGGCUGGCCCCACCCUUGACCCUGCAGUUUAUGAUGUUUUUAAUGGUCAUUAUUUUUGUGUCCUGUUUAACCUUUGUCUACUUCAUAUUUAUGAAGACAGUCUUCUAUGGUUUCUCCUAGAAGCUUUAUUAUUCUACCAUUUACAUUUUGCCCAGUGACCUAUCUGGAAUUGGUUUUGUCUACCAUGAAAGGGUACGGUUCCAGGUUCAUUGUUUUUUAUAGAGAUUUUUAGUGGACUCAGCACAAUUUACUUAAAAAUUAUCCUCUCCCCACUGCACUGUUGUGCACCUUUGUCAUGAAUCAGGUGAUCAUGUAUGUGUGAGUUUUUGUCUACAUUCUCUGUUUUCUUCCUUGGUGUUUAUGUCUGUCUGUAUUACUCCAUUCUCACAUUGAGAUAAAGAAAUACUUAGACUGGACCCUUUAUAAGGAGGUUUAAUUGGCUCAUGGUUCUGUGGGCUCUACAAGAAGCAAGGUGGGCUCUGCUUCUAGGGAGGCCUCAGGAAGCUUCCAAUCAUGACAGAAGGCAAAGGGGAAGCAGGCAUCUCAUGUGGCAGGAGCAGGAGUGAGAGAGGGAGCGCGGGGAGGUGCCACACACUUUACAACAGCCAGAUCUCACGAGAACUCACUCACUAUCAUAAGAACACCAAGAGGAUGCUGCUAAACCACGAGAAAUCCACCCCCAUGAUCCAAUCAUUUCCCACCAGGCUCCUGGUUUCAAGGGUUCAAGUCAUUUUCAUGCCUCAGCCUUCUGAGUAGCUGGGAUUACAGGCAUGUGCCACCAUACCCAACUGAUUUUUGUAUUUUUACUGGAAAUGGGGUUUCACCAUGUUGGCCAGGCUGGUCUCAAAUUCUUGGCCUCAAGUGAUCCUCCUGCCUCAGCUUCCCAAAGUGCUGGGAUUACAGGCAUGAGCCAUUGCACCCAGCCUUGUCUUAGCUAUU